rnacentral:rRNA from 1 species
GACGAACCGUGCGAACGUUGUUCGGAAUCACUGGGCUUAAAGGGCGCGUAGGCGGGCCUUCAAGUCCGGGGUGAAAUCCUCCAGCCUAACUGGAGAAGAGCCUCGGAGACUGAGGGCCUCGAGGAGGGUAGGGGCAAGCGGAACUAUGGGUGGAGCGGUGAAAUGCAUUGAUAUCCAUAGGAACUCCGGUGGCGAAGGCGGCUUGCUGGACCCUUUCUGACGCUGAGGCGCGAAAGCCAGGGGAGCAAACAGG